GGCAAUCUGUUUUGGAAACACCUGGUUUUGAAAACCAACCAAAGACGUUCGACUCGCCUGAUUCCCU
rnacentral:tRNA from 1 species